rnacentral:rRNA from 1 species
UCGUAGUCGGAUUCGGGGCGGGUCGACCGGUCUGCCGAUGGGUACGCACUGGUCGACGCGUCCUUCCUUCCGGAGACCGUCUCACUCUUAACUGAGCGGAGGCGGGAGACGGAACGUUUACUUUGAAAAAAUCAGAGUGUUUCAAGCAGGCAGCUCGCUCUUGCAUGGAUUAGCAUGGGAUAAUGAAAUAGGACUUUGGUGCUAUUUUGUUGGUUUCGAACACCGAAGUAAUGAUGAGAAGGGACAGUCAGGGGCACUCGUAUUCCGCCGAGAGAGGUGAAAUUCUUAGACCAGCGGAAGACGAACCACUGCGAAAGCAUUUGCCAGGGAUGUUUUCACUGAUCAAGAACGAAAGUUAGGGGAUCGAAGACGAUCAGAUACCGUCGUAGUCUUAACCAUAAACCAUGCCGACUAGGGAUUGGAGGAUGUUCACUUUUGACUCCUUCAGCACCUUACGGGAAACUAAAGUCUUUGGGUUCCGGGGGGAGUAUGGUCGCAAGGCUGAAACUUAAAGGAAUUGACGGAAGGGCACCACCAGGUGUGGAGCCUGCGGCUUAAUUUGACUCAACACGGGGAAACUUACCAGGUCCAGACAUUGUGAGGAUUGACAGAUUGAGAGCUCUUUCUUGAUUCGAUGGGUGGUGGUGCAUGGCCGUUCUUAGUUGGUGGAGUGAUUUGUCUGGUUAAUUCCGUUAACGAACGAGACCUUAGCCUGCUAAAUAGUGACGCGAACACUCCGUUCGCGGUCCACUUCUUAGAGGGACAACUUGUCUUCAACAAGUGGAAGUUUGAGGCAAUAACAGGUCUGUGAUGCCCUUAG